CUUCGGGGCAGAAGCCUGGGAGUGGCUAUUCUGUAGUCAACAGCGAGUGAGGUUUCAACUCAUUUUCCCCUUCAGCUAAAAGAGGAAAAACAGGCUGCUCUGCUUGCCAUCUGCCAAGAGAAAAUAAGUGCUUUUGGUGUGAGUAACCACCUAGUAAUCACCCUAGCAACCACAUGGCAACGCACUGAAAACCACUCAGACACCUUAGCAAAUGCACAGCAAUGCUUUGGCAAUCAUCAACAGCCUAACAUUGUGCGAUUGGAUGUUGCACCACAAAGUUUGAGGAGAUUGGACUGUCUCAACGUUCGGCGGUCAUGUUGGAGUCGCGCAGUGAGGGAGAGCUGCGCUGGAUUUGCACUACAGAGUAAUUGCGUCAUCUGAGGACUCCGCUUGUUUUCUUCAUCGUUUCUUCGUCGUUUCUUCCUGCAAAGACUGUAGGCAUUCGCACACACACAC